rnacentral:rRNA from 1 species
UACGUAGGGUGCAAGCAUUAAUCGGAAUUAUUGGGCGUAAAGGGCGCGUAGGCGGAUUGAUAAGUCAGAUGUGAAAUACCAAAGCUCAACUUUGGUGCUGCAUUUGAAACUGUUUUUUUCUAGAGGAUUGACGGAGAAAGCGGAAUUCCACGUGUAGCGGUGAAAUGCGUAGAUACGUGGAGGAACACCGGUGGCGAAAGCGGCUUUCUAGUUUAGACCUGACGCUGAGGCGCGAGAGCAAGGGGGAGCAAACAGG